ensembl:lncRNA
AAUGAUCAGAGUUCUACCUUCAUACUGUGAAUAUUUCAGAGUUCUAGGUCCUUGGAGUCCAUAGAGGUGGGUCCAGAUUUAUCACCUUUUAAUUGACUUUUCCCAUCAUUUCUGAGCCUCAGAACUUCAUCAGUCCAGCAGAUAGAACCAUGACAUUUUAGGAGGAAAAACACAUCUGAGUUCUGAUAAAAACUGACACCAGAUCAAUUUUAGAUCCACAACAAGUGUCACAAGAUAAAGAUUAAAUUAGUUUUGGUCUUCAGGAACUAAGUAAGUUCAGGAAUAAUUUUUAUCAUAAAAAGAGACAAAAUCACCACAAAAAUAAACACCCUAAAGACUAAAAUUAGCCACAAAAAACUGCAAAGUGACCUCAAAAUGAGCUGAAAUUACCACAAAGAUACACAAAAUCAUCACAAAAAGACACAAAAGCACCACAAAAAAAGAAAAAAAAGGCCUUCUGGAGUAAAAUUCUGUGGUCAGAUAGAACAAAGCCUGAUCAGAAAUCAGUUUGGAAGAGAGAAGGUGAGGCCUUUAACCCCAAGAAUACCAAACCUACCAUCAAGCAUGGAGGUGGUAGCAUCAUGCUCUGUGGAACUGGAGCUUUCCACAAAGUAAAUGGAAUAAUGAAGAAGGAGGAUCACCUCCACAUUCUUCAGGAAAACCUAAAACCAUCAGCAGAAGGUUGAUCUUGGACACAGUUGGAUGUUUCAACAAGACAGUGAGCCCAAACACACAUCAGACGUGGUAAAGAAAUGGUUCCAUCAGGCUGGAAUGAAGGUUCUAAACUGGUCUCCCCAAAGUCCUGACUUAAACCCAUCAAGAACCUGUGGACUGAUGAAGAAACAAGUCUGAGUCUGAAAGACAAGUUCAGUUGAACUGAACCAAUUCUGUCCAGAGGAGUCAAAGAGAAACCAGAAGGCUGGAACCAGAAGAACCCAACUGAGGAGGAAAUGGACAAAUUUAACCAAAUUUUAACAUUUCUGUUUGUAUAUUUAUAUGUUUACUCAGAGGAGUCAGCAGCUGUAGUCGACUG